GACGAACGCUGGCGGCGUGCUUAACACAUGCAAGUCGAACGGAAAGGCCCUGCUUUUGUGGGGUGCUCGAGUGGCGAACGGGUGAGUAACACGUGAGUAACCUGCCCUUGACUUUGGGAUAACUUCAGGAAACUGGGGCUAAUACCGGAUAGGAGCUCCUGCUGCAUGGUGGGGGUUGGAAAGUUUCGGCGGUUGGGGAUGGACUCGCGGCUUAUCAGCUUGUUGGUGGGGUAGUGGCUUACCAAGGCUUUGACGGGUAGCCGGCCUGAGAGGGUGACCGGCCACAUUGGGACUGGGAUACGGCCCAGACUCCUACGGGAGGCAGCAGUGGGGAAUAUUGCACAAUGGGCGGAAGCCUGAUGCAGCAACGCCGCGUGCGGGAUGACGGCCUUCGGGUUGUAAACCGCUUUCGCCUGUGACGAAGCGUGAGGGACGGUAAUGGGUAAAGAAGCACCGGCUAACUACGU
rnacentral:rRNA from 1 species